rnacentral:rRNA from 1 species
CCAGACUCCUACGGGAGGCAGCAGUGAAGAAUAUUGGUCAAUGGGCGGGAGCCUGAACCAGCCAAGUCGCGUGAGGGAAGACGGUCCUACGGAUUGUAAACCUCAUUUGCCGGGGAGCAACGGGGUCCUUGCGAGGGCCCGAUGAGAGUACCCGGAGAAAAAGCAUCGGCUAACUCCGUGCCAGCAGCCGCGGUAAUACGUAGGGGGCAAGCGUUAUCCGGAUUUACUGGGUGUAAAGGGAGCGUAGACGGCAGUGCAAGUCUGGAGUGAAAGGCAUGGGCUCAACCUGUGGACUGCUUUGGAAACUGUGCGGCUUGAGUGUCGGAGAGGCAAGUGGAAUUCCUAGUGUAGCGGUGAAAUGCGUAGAUAUUAGGAGGAACACCAGUGGCGAAGGCGGCUUGCUGGACGAUGACUGACGUUGAGGCUCGAAAGCGUGGGGAGCAAACAGGAUUAGAUACCCCCGUAA